AGAGCGAACGCUGGCGGCAGGCCUAAUACAUGCAAGUCGAACGGAUCCUUCGGGAUUAGUGGCGGACGGGUGAGUAACACGUGGGAACGUGCCCUUUGGUUCGGAACAACUCAGGGAAACUUGAGCUAAUACCGAAUGAGCCCCCAUCCUUAAACAAGAUGGGUGGGAAAGAUUUAUCGCCAUUGGAGCGGCCCGCGUCUGAUUAGCUAGUUGGUGGGGUAAAGCCCACCAAGGCGACGAUCAGUAGCUGGUCUGAGAGGAUGAUCAGCCACACUGGGACUGAGACACGGCCCAGACUCCUACGGGAGGCAGCAGUAGGGAAUCUUGCGCAAUGGGCGAAAGCCUGACGCAGCCAUGCCGCGUGAAUGAUGAAGGUCUUAGGAUUGUAAAAUUCUUUCAGCGGGACGAUAAUGACGGUACCCGCAGAAGAGCCCGGCUAACUUCGUGCCAGCAGCCGC
rnacentral:rRNA from 1 species